rnacentral:rRNA from 1 species
AUACGGAGGGUCGCAAGCGUUAAUCGGAAUCACUGGGCGUAAAGCGCGCGUAGGCCGCCUUCUAAGUCGGAACGUGAAAGCCCUUCGGCUCAACCGAGGAACUGCGUUCGAAACUGGGAGGCUUGAGUCCUGGAGAGGGUGGCGGAAUUCCGGGUGUAGGAGUGAAAUCCGUAGAUAUCCGGAGGAACACCGGUGGCGAAGGCGGCCACCUGGACAGGUACUGACGCUGAGGCGCGAAAGCGUGGGGAGC